UACAGAGGGUGCGAACGUUGCUCGGAAUUACUGGGCGUAAAGCGCGUGUAGGCGGUCCGUUAAGUUGGUAGUGAAAUCCCAUGGCUCAACCAUGGAAGUGCUGCCAAAACUGGCGGGCUGGAGUGCCGGAGAGGGUGGCGGAAUUCCCAGUGUAGAGGUGAAAUUCGUAGAUAUUGGGAGGAACACCGGUGGCGAAAGCGGCUCACUGGACCAUAACUGACGCUGAGGUGCGAAAGCUAGGGUAGCAAACGGGG
rnacentral:rRNA from 1 species